UGAUGGUGAAAUAAUGAAAAACGGAAAAACUACAUUUUUGUGAUAGUUUAAUAAUUUUAGCACAUUGUAUCUAUUAUUCCCUCCACUUUUAUUCAUAACCACCUAUUCUGAUUUUCUUUUUAUUCUCUUAUCUUCAAUCAUAGCCACUCAUUUAAAUUUAUUUUUAUCCUCUUAUCUUCGAUUAUAACAACUUAUUCAAUUUUUUUUUAUUCUCUUAUCUUCAAUUUUAACCACUAAUUCAGAUUUUCUUCUUAUCUUCAAUUCUUAAUAUAUAUAACUACUUCACACUUACUCUCAUUCACCAUAUCCUCACAAUUUCCUCAACUUUCAUUUCAUUUUCGUAAUUCAUAGAAGUAUAUUAUGGAUCAAUACAAUUUUUCAUUUUCGGAGAGUUGGUUAGUUGGGAACGAUGUUGCUAAUGAUGUUCCUUGUGGGGAGAGCAGCUCAUACAUUGGGCGUGAUUACACAGCCGAAUUUACGACUGACCAGACAAUGAACAUGAUUCAGAAGCAGGUACAACGCACUGAUAACGAACCCUCCUACGAAACCGGCCUUUGCUUUUGUAAAAUUAAAAGGACACACAGAUUGCCAUGCUUUCAUAAUAUUGCACUUCACCGUUCUGUGGAUAUGCCAAUUCCGCUAAGCGCUAUCUAGCUUCAUUGAAGUACGUUGUCCAUGCACGCCCAGAGGCAUACUGACGGGGGAGCACGAUCCGACAGGGCAGCUCAGCUUAUUGAAAGAUUAAAUGAAAUGGAUUCUGACAGUCGAGAGUCUAUGAUGGACAGGUUUCUUGAUAUGGCGGAUCCAUCUCGUUGCACAGUUCGACCCCUAGCAUACAACACAGAACACAGGGGUCGACCUACAAGCAGAGAUGAGCAGAAUAGAGGUCGCAUACCUUCCUUCACAGUAUCCACUUCAGAAUCUUGGGCUUCAGGUAUUCCAACAUCGCGAAGGAGAAAUGGGAGGGAUCACCUCGUUCAGAAAUUUCUUGAGCAGUAUCAGUGUUAUAUUUUCCACUGUGUUGACGUUCGAUCCGACGGUCAUUGUGACUUCAGGGCGAUAGCCAUGCACUUUUGGUUCUGAAGAUGAAUGGGCUCAAGUACGACGGGACCUUAUCCAAGAGAUUGAACAAAACUGGAUCAUGUACAAUCAGCUUUAUCCAGAACGUGAUUAUAUAUACCAGGUGCUACAAAGACUUCCAACCAUCGGCACCAGAGGAUCAUUAGAUGGAUUCUAUACCAUUGAGACUUGUCAUCGCACCAACGUACAACAUUGUACUACAUACAUUCGAUAUAAUUGCUUCGAGUUGUCUUACUCACUUGCCGUUGACCUCCCAUACAGUUCCAUUCGCAGAGCGCAAACAUAUAGCUAUUUGCAAUGUUAAUGGUAAUCACUUCGUGCAAGUUUUCCUAUACUCUCAUUACCAUGUACCACCCAUCAUCAAAUGGUGGAGGCAAAAUGCAUCAGUUGAAGUACGUGGAUGGACUCAUUCUUAUGAAACACGUCUCCAAUUGGGGUACGAAGCAAUGGAGAUAGAUCUUCCGGGACAGCGACCACAAUUUGACGAAAAUUUUGACUAAAUUUGUGUAUUUAUUUAUAUUUAUGUAUUGUUUCUAUAUACUCAAUUAUAAUUAAAUGAAAUUUGAUUUCAGUUUGUAUUAUUGAUGAUUGUUCAGAGAAAUAUAAAGUAAAUUUAAGUGGAUUCAACAUACAUAAUUUACUUAAAAACUCAAAUAUAGAAGUUUUAAAAACAUGGACAAAAAAGUAAAAACAAAGAGAUAAUAUAUUGGGCCCAAAAAAAUCAUUUAAUUUAAACACAUUAUUUCAUAUUAAAUAUUAGACUUGUUUGAUAGAUUUCGUUUAGUAGAUUUUAAAAAUAUAAAAUUUAUUAAAAAAACUACGUGAAAAAAAAUUAUUAGCAUUUAAAAUUUUAUAACAAAAAAAAAAACGAGAGAGAUGGGGGGUAAAAGGGGAAAGGAGGGGCCCAGGUCGGAGGUCGGGGGUUCUGACACCUAUAGAAUAAGGUCACAACACUCCAUGUUUGGAGUGUUUAGAUCGAACAUAUACACAUAUCAGAUGCCGUUGAUUCUCGCGAGAGCCCACUUGGUUUUUUUAUUUAGAAUUUUUGGACGGUUCGGAUUGGCCGUCCGGUGGCCGGAAUGUGCCCUACGGGCUGUCGAGAUUCCGAUCGAAAUUUUAAGUCGGGAACCGUAUCAUUAACGUUGAAGAUAAUGUGUCAAAAAGUGAGAAGUCAGUCUUUACGUCCUCAGCAUUAUUGGAGAUGAUAACGUCACGAGUGGCACAUGUAGAUUUGGACAAAGAUUAAUAAUCGUCCCUCACGUUUUGGGUACAGUACUAGGAACUAUGGAGCACGGGUACCGGUACGCGGUACGGGUACGGUACAGGUACGGGUACGGGAAACGGCAAAACCCCAAAAAAGUAGGGUACGGGUACGGCAGGGGUACGACACAUUUAUUUUUUAUUAUGUUUUAUAAUUUUAAUAUGCUUGAGUUUUUAUGAAUAAUGUAUAACUCAUGUAUAAUCAUAUCAUUAUAUUAGUUAUAAUUUUUUUUUUAUAUUUCUUAAUAAAAUACAAAUCUAAAAGAGACCAGGGGUUGAAGUGCAAACUUUCAUAUAUUUAGGGACCAGAUUGUUGCAUAUGUUAAUGUCUAAGGACUGGAGUGUAAUAACCCUUUAAAUAUACGUAUGACUCUGAAUUAGGGAUCAGAACUUCACAUAGCCGACUCUCCCUCUGACUCUCGCCGUCGACUCUCUCUGUGACUCUCGCCGUCGAUCAUCAUCAUCGUCCGAUGUCUCUCUCUCUCGUCAUCACCAUCAAUCAUCAUCUCGCCGUCGCCAAAGUCUCUCUUCUCC